rnacentral:rRNA from 1 species
GAAAGUAAACAAGGGCGCAUGGAGGAUGCCUAGGCUCUCGGAGGCGAAGAAGGACGUGAUAAGCUGCGAAAAGUUACGGUAAGGCGCAAAUAGCCCUAGACCCGUAAAUAUCCGAAUGGGGCAACCCGGCCAGCAAUGGCCAUACCGCCAAGCGGUAAGCCAACGCGGGGAACUGAAACAUCUAAGUACCCGCAGGAAAAGAAAAUAACAAUGAUUCCGCCAGUAGUGGCGAGCGAACGCGGAACAGCCCAAACCACUCGUGUUACGGCACGAGUGGGGUAGAAGGAUCCACGAUACGGCAAGAAAUAAGUUAGCAGAAUACGAUGGAAAUCGUAGCCAAAGACGGUGACAGCCCAGUACGCGAAAACCGACAGAAGCCCAGUGGACACCUGAGUAACCCAGGACACGAGAAAUCCGGGGCGAAUCAGCGGGGCCCAUCCCGUAAGGCUAAAUACUCCCGAGAGACCGAUAGCGAACCAGUACUGUGAAGGAAAGGUGAAAAGCACUUCGAAUAGAAGAGUGAAAUAGUCCCUGAAACCGUGCGCCUACAAGCGGUCGGAGCAGCGUAAGUUGUGACGGCGUGCCUUUUGCAUAAUGAACCUACGAGUUACUUUUUCCGGCAAGGUUAAGCAUUUCAAAAUGUGUAGCCGAAGCGAAAGCGAGUCUGAACAGGGCGAUUAGUCGGAAGGAGUAGACGCGAAACCAAGUGAUCUACCCUUGGUCAGGUUGAAGGUUAGGUAACACUAACUGGAGGACCGAACCGAUAAGCGUUGAAAAGCUUCCGGAUGAACUGAGGGUGGGGGUGAAAGGCUAAUCAAACUUGGAGAUAGCUCGUACUCCCCGAAAUGCAUUUAGGUGCAGCCUUGGGAAUUACUACUGUGAGGUAGAGCGACUGAUAAGAUGCGAGGGCUUCACCGCCUAUCAAGUCUUGAUAAACUCCGAAUGCGCAGUAGUUCGAUCCCAGGAGUGAGGGCAUGGGUGCUAAGGUCCAUGUCCUAAAGGAGAAGAAUCCGGACCAUCAGCUAAGGUCCCGAAAUAAUUGCUAAGUUGAACUAACGAAGUCAGAUUGCUAAGACAGCUAGGAUGUUGGCUUGGAAGCAGCCAUUCAUUUAAAGAGUGCGUAACAGCUCACUAGUCGAGGAGUUUGGCGUGGAUAAUAAUCGGGCAUUAAGCAAUUUACCGAAGCUAUGGGAUCAGUAAUGAUCGGUAGGGGAGCAUUCCACUCUGCGUCGAAGGUGAAGCGUGAGCUUUGCUGGAGCGUGUGGAAAAGCAAAUGUAGGUAUAAGUAACGAUAAAGGGGGUGAGAAACCCCCUCGCCGAAAGACUAAGGUUUCCUGAUCAACGCUAAUCGGAUCAGGGUUAGUCGGGUCCUAAGGCUCAGCCGAACGGUGAGGCCGAUGGCAGAACAGGUUAAUAUUCCUGUACUACCUUAAGGAGUGACGUGGAGACGGAGCAGUGAUAGCGCCGCGGACUGACGGAAUAGUCCGUUGAAGGGUGUAGAUGUUGAUCUUUGCAGGCAAAUCCACAAAGAGAGUCGAACCUGAUAGUAUGGAACGUUCUUCGGAACAAUCCAAUAGUGCGUGUAAGCAUACUCCCAAGAAAAUCCGCUAAACUUAAUCUUUAAGGUACCCGUACCGCAAACGGACACACGUAGUCGGGUUGAAUAUACUAAGGCGCUUGAGUGAUUCACGGUUAAGGAACUAGGCAAAUUGACCCUGUAACUUCGGGAUAAAGGGUCCCAACGAGAGUUGGGCGCAGAGAAUAGGUCCAGGCAACUGUUUAACAAAAACACAUGGCUGUGCUAAAUGGAAACAUGAUGUAUACAGCCUGACACCUGCCCGGUGCCGGAAGGUUAAGAGGAGAUGUCAUCCGCGAGGAGAAGCGUUGAAUUGAAGCCCCGGUAAACGGCGGCCGUAACUAUAACGGUCCUAAGGUAGCGAAAUUCCUUGUCGGGU